UGGGUUUUCAGAUCUCCUGCCUCGGGGACUGCAGGGCCUGUGUUUAGGUAACCUUUAUUUUACUUAAUAAUGGUCCCAAAGCACAAGUCAGUGAUGGUGGCAAUUAGCAUAUGGCAGAGAGAAGCCUCAAAGUGCUUCCUUUAAGUGAAAAGGUGAAAGUUUUCAACUUGAUAAGGAAAGAAAAAGAACCCUACGCCGCGGCUGCCAAGAUUUACGGAGUAAAGAAAGAAAAGUAUCUAUUAUUGCCAGGCAUACACUGAAUGGUGGCUUUAUUUGAACAACUCCCAUCUUCCUUUCUGAGGAGCAGCAUUCAAGUAGCCAAGUGUCCUAAAGGAUCUGAUACAACAGCAGGAGUUUCCACGUAGAGCCAGUGAUUGAGUCAGGUGAGUGGCACCUUUGUGAUUGUAGGUGUUCUGUAUGUUUGCAGGAUCACAUUC
rnacentral:lncRNA from 1 species